UAAGUUGUUCGAUAAUGUAAGCACAAUCGAAUACUUUAUGUGAAAACAAGAUAUACUUAAUACAUUCAGGUGCACUGGUUUUCUCAAAAUUUUUAGUUGGAGCUGUUUUCAAGACAAUAGAGUGGCCACCUUAUUCACAAUUUAAAUUCUGAUGUUAGCAAUGGUUUUUUCACCGCACUUUGUCCAUUUAGAAUGGCACCCUUUGCGAUAACUUUUGGGGACGUACUUAUCGACCCCUUGCCAAAUCGACAAUUUUUUUGCAGACGGCUGUGUCUGCUAUAUCUGAGGUGGGGUUAGAAAAUUUUUUUAUAAAAUAUCAGAGUAAUAUAAUGAUCUUGUGGUGCUGUGAAAUAAACAACUAUGUUAUUCCCUUUGUAAAAGAUCUAUUUUGAUAUAAAAUAGGCAUUGACUUUUCAGUUCCGCCAGACGAAAGUGAACGUUUUACAAUUCGAAAAAUCGAAAAUUUGAAAACCCGAUAAAUGAUAUAGAUUUUUCAAAUUGAAAAAUUUCUUAUGAAUUCAAUUACCUGAGCCUGCCUGAAUAUAACGAACUAAGAAAAUAAGCCUUUUUAUUUGAAAUA